CCUCAUCUUCUCCUCCUCUUCUUCUUUCUUCUUUCUCUUCUUUUCUUUCUUUCCUUCUCCUUUCUCUUCUGCGUUUCUGCUACUGGCGAGAGACAGCCACAACGAACCGCGACUCCACCAGGCCAGGACGGAUCUUCACCAGGACGGAUCUUCAUCGCGGCGCCGUCACCACUGCCGCUCGAUCUCUCUCCCUUGCGUUCAUCCUCAGGAAACUCAGUGGCUCCGCCUGUGAUCCUCUGGCAGAUUGCGUCGCGCCAUCCCUCUCCAGUUUGCGAUCAAAGGAAACCAGCACCACCGAGCUCAGCCUUGUCGCACAGCCGCCAGUUCCACCACUUGCGUCACUGCUGUAGCUCAGCUCCUCCUGCGUCGAUCUCAGGUGAUCCAGCCGCUCCAGCAUAACUCCAGCCACCUGCUUGCAGUCUCAGUGCGCGAUCCGGCACUCAUAAAUCCCGAUCUAGCAAAAUCCGACAAGAAAAAUUAUAUUUGGGGGAGGUUUAUAAAAUUCCGAAAUGCGAGGACAAAGGCUGGAAGCAUGUGGCUAGAAGCAUGUGGCUAGAAAGGCAGUCUCCUUAGAGGAUAAUAAAGAACUGUGAAGGAGGAAUGAGACUUUAUUGUCUUUCAUUCCACGGAGGAAUUAGACUUUAUUGUCUUAAAUCAGGAUUCUCAUAUGUUGCCUAGCAAAUUUCUCAAAGUCAUUUAUAAUAGAAGAAACAUCGGUUAAGCACAAAAGAUGAAGAGACCAUCUGAUUCUGUUUUAGUGUUUGGUUAGCAUUCAAUGUAAAUGUGGCCUUUGCAUGACUUAAAAUCAAACUAGGAACAGACCUUUCUUCUUUUACUCUUUGUUCAAAUCUUUCCAUGAGUUACAUAAAUGUAGCUCCCGCUAUGUUCUGAGACCAAGUAACUUCUUUUCCCAUAUUACUUCUAGUCAGUUAGUACAUGAGAUUUUAAAUCAUUGGGUGUCCAAGAGAUUUUUCGUAUUAGAGAAAACGUUUAGCUAAGUGAAGUGUAUCAAGCGAAUGAUGAGGCACUAUUAAUUUUUAAAUCA